rnacentral:lncRNA from 1 species
UAAAGCAACAUCACACCCACAUCAACCAUCCACAUGAAUUAGCCCAGUAGACUUUGUUAUAGCUACUUUCAAGAAUGACAUGUCAAACCCCAAAAUCUCACUGGAAGUAGUGACACUCUCACAAAUAAAUUAAACCCAAUAAAAAUAGUCACUCCAAUGAAUGGUAAUUGAGAGAGAAAAUAAUAAAGAAGUGAUAUCACAUG